UACGUAGGGGGCGAGCGUUGUCCGGAGUUACUGGGCGUAAAGCGCACGCAGGCGGUCUGCUAAGUUUGGGGUGACAGUUGCCGACUUAAUCGGCAAAGUGCCUCAAAGACUGGCGGACUUGAGGGCCACAGAGGGACAUGGAACUCCAGGUGUAGUGGUGAAAUGCGUAGAUAUCUGGAAGAACACCAAAGGCGAAGGCAGUGUCCUGGGUGGUCGCUGACGCUGAGAGGCGAAAGCCAGGGGAGCGAACGGG
rnacentral:rRNA from 1 species